rnacentral:rRNA from 1 species
UACGUAGGGUGCAAGCGUUGUCCGGAAUUAUUGGGCGUAAAGAGCUCGUAGGCGGUCUGUCGCGUCGUCCGUGAAAACCUGCAGCUCAACUGCAGGCUUGCGGUCGAUACGGGCAGGCUAGAGUUCGGUAGGGGAGACUGGAAUUCCUGGUGUAGCGGUGGAAUGCGCAGAUAUCAGGAGGAACACCGGUGGCGAAGGCGGGUCUCUGGGCAGUAACUGACGCUGAGGAGCGAAAGCGUGGGGAGCGAACAGG